UACGGAGGAGGCAAGCGUUAUCCGGAAUUAUUGGGCGUAAAGCGUCCGUAGGUGGCUAGUCAAGUCUGCGGUCAAAGACUGGGGCUUAACCCUGGAAAGGCCGUGGAAACUGACGAGCUAGAGUGCAGUAGGGGUAGAGGGAAUUCCCGGUGUAGCGGUGAAAUGCGUAGAGCUCGGGAGGAACACCAGAGGCGAAAGCGGUUAACUGGGUCUAAACUGACGCUGAGGCGCGAAGGCUAGGGGAGCAAACAGG
rnacentral:rRNA from 1 species